AAAAAUUUAGUUAAUUAAAUAACAUUAGAUUGUCAAACUAAAAUAAAUAUAUUCUCAUAUUAAUUUUUU
rnacentral:tRNA from 1 species